rnacentral:tRNA from 1 species
GGCUCCUUGGUCAAGCGGUUAAGACACCGCCCUUUCACGGCGGUAACACGGGUUCGAGUCCCAUAGGAGUCAUCA